AGGUCUUGACAUCCCUGACGAACCCGAGAGAUCGGCGUUCCCCUUCGGGGGACAGGGUGACAGGUGGUGCAUGGUUGUCGUCAGCUCGUGUCGUGAGAUGUUGGGUUAAGUCCCGCAACGAGCGCAACCCUUGUCUUUAGUUGCCAUCAUUAAGUUUGGGCACUCUAAAGAGACUGCCGGUGUCAAACCGGAGGAAGUGGGGAUGACGUCAAAUCAUCAUGCCCCUUAUGACCUGGGCUACACACGUGCUACAAUGGGCGGUACAAAGGGUCGCGAACCCGCGAGGGGGAGCCAAUCCCAAAAAGCCGCUCUCAGUUCGGAUUGCAGGCUGCAACUCGCCUGCAUGAAGCCGGAAUCGCUAGUAAUCGCGGAUCAGCAUGCCGCGGUGAAUACGUUCCCGGGCCUU
rnacentral:rRNA from 1 species